rnacentral:rRNA from 1 species
UGCGAAGGCAAGCGGAUCUCUUAAAGCUGUUCUCAGUUCGGACUGCAGUCUGCAACUCGACUGCACGAAGCUGGAAUCGCUAGUAAUCGCGGAUCAGCACGCCGCGGUGUAUACGUUCCCGGGCCUUGUACACACCGCCCGUCACACCAUGGAAGUCUGCAAUGCCCGAAGCCGGUGGCCUAACCACUUAUGUGGAAGGAGCCGUCUAAGGCAGGGCAGAUGACUGGGGUGAAGUCGUAACAAGGUAAC